GUAAUAAUUUGCAGAAAAUAGACACAAAAGAACAUCAAAUAUUCAAGUUUACACAAGAAAACUAGAUUCAGCAUUUUGCAAAACUGUUCCUUUCUGUUUACUAUCCAUGUGUGGCGUUAGAUUUGAAUUGUAACACUUUAUAGUGACUGAAAAGGUUGAAGACAGACUUUGCAGAAAAUAAAGACACCUUGAAAAAGCAUCAAACAUUUCAGCCUACAGUUGCUAAAUAAAACUAGGAUAUGGUCAUGGAAAGCUCAAAUAUCAGUCUGUUGAUCCAAUUGUGCAGGUGUCAAUGGCAAUUUGCAGUGGAGCAGUCAUUUCUAGAAAAAUGGUUAUGUACAAGGUUAACAUGAAUGAUGCAAAAGAAUUUGAAAUUGAUUAUAAGCUCUGAUUUAUUUGUGUAGCUGCCAUGGUCAGAUUGCAGCAAUUCGACAUUGUUAGGUGGAGUGGUCACAUCUAGAAAGAGAGGAUAAUAUAAAUAAUAUAAAUAAAGAGAAAUGUUUAAGAUAUCAAAGAAGAGCUGCGAAAAUGAAGGAGAAAAGGGCCCUGGUUCCUUGACUCCGGCUGUGUAAUACUGUCAUGGAAGAUAACAUCAGUACCCUCCAAGUGCCACCAAACAUUUUCCCCGUGUUCCAAGAAAUCAGCAAUUCUUUCCAUGUGUGAUUGAAACAGCAUAGGACUGUCCUUAAAAGUGUGAUUAGAAAGAAUUGUGUCAGGUUGCUUUGGCAGAAGGCUUGUUUGUCUUUUAAUAGUGGAAUCCUGGUGGACAAAUGAAUUAACCCUAUUUGAGGUGUUUUGCUGUGCCAUGAAUCUUAUAACAGCAUUAUCAACUAUCCAGCCUGGUUUUCUAUUAGAUGUUCCUGCUGAAAUCCUUCUAAGAUCACCAAAAGAUCGUUCUUCCUGCUCCGUCAGUACUGAUUUUGUAUUUAUAAUUCGGUAUAAUUCGGCCAAAUGGGUUGUAAUUGAGUGGAAGUGAGCUCCAUAAAAUUUUCUGGUUGUCAUUUUAACAGGAUUACCAAUAACCUUUUUGCAUAGAAUUCCAAAUAAAAACGUUUGGUUGUAGAGCCUCAGCAGCUGUCUUGGAGACCUCUGUUCAUAGCCACUGUAGGCAAUAUUUAAAAUAUCAACUAAAGAUGUGAUUAGUUGUACAAAUUCUUCAGCCAAUUUUCCUUCACUUUUUUUAUUACCUGUACGAACUGUGACGCCCGUAUAUGACACGGAAACCAGGCGUAAAAAUUAUACUUUAUCUGGGCGUCAUUGCAGUGUUUAAGGAAUGCAUGUCCAGGCGUCAACCAGGCGUAAACCAGGCGGAAACCAAGCGUAACUGAGGCGGAAACCAGGCGUAAAAUUAGGCGUAAUAUUUAAAUGAGUACGCCUGGUCCAGAGAAAACCAGGCGUAAUAUGCAAAUGAGUACGCCUGGUCAAUAAAUAAACCAGGCGUAAUAUCCUUACAUAAUACUACACUUAUUUCAAAUCAGUGUAUUACCCUAGCUGUGUACUUUUGUGUAUUUAAUGCAAACUUCUGUACUGUUGCUUUAAUUUCUCAUUAUUUGAAAUAAAACUGGAAAUAUUAACCAUUGAAGAAGCUAAUAUAUAAAUAAAUACAUU